UACGAAGGGGGCUAGCGUUGUUCGGAAUUACUGGGCGUAAAGCGCACGUAGGCGGAUAUUUAAGUCAGGGGUGAAAUCCCAGAGCUCAACUCUGGAACUGCCUUUGAUACUGGGUAUCUCGAGUAUGGAAGAGGUGAGUGGAAUUCCGAGUGUAGAGGUGAAAUUCGUAGAUAUUCGGAGGAACACCAGUGGCGAAAGGCGGCC
rnacentral:rRNA from 1 species